rnacentral:lncRNA from 1 species
CAUGGCUCUGCUGUUGUAUAUAAGUUGUAUUUCUUUAUCUGUAUAUCCUGAUUUACUAUGCAUAGUGCUGUAGUGUCCAGUCUGCAUGUAAACACUGUCACUGCAGAAAUAGAAGCAAUACGAGUGUCCGAUAUCAUUUCCUCAGUCAGAGUGCGUGUGUGUGUGUGUGAGCCUAUAGCCACAAAGGAAAGCGAAAGGAAAACGGAAAGACCCCGAUUUUUUCCCUCAUCAUCGAUCCAGGAAACGUGGUUUCCAGGAAAGACAAACACACUGUGAUGUCAGCCUUUCUUUACAAGAGAGCAUGCUCCUCAGUGCAGCAGACAAAAGCACUGCUCUGCCCCGAGGAAAGAGGACUAUCAGAACAGACCACGGCCAUCUGGACUCAAUCAGAAGAACAGGGUGUGUUUUACGAAAGAGCUGGCAGCUAUGAAACAGCGGCGGCACAGUUCAUUGACUGAUCCUCAGUAGGAGCCGAUUCUGCUCAUCGCUAAUCAUUAACUUUGGCUGAGGAAGAUCACAGGCGAUCAUUCCAGAGUUGAGCAGAGCCAAGACCGACUGAGAGGAACAUCUUUUACUAUCAGUUCUGCCUGUGUUUUGAAAGUCUCAGAAAGUGAAAGUAAGAGAGAACAUGCAACCCUAUACCACUCUCCCUCUCCUGGCUGUGCUCAUCACUGUGGUAAAUGGAGGUGAAAUCCAGGUGGAGCUGAGGACUGAAAAGUCUGUGUCGAAUGACUGUCACGAAAACGCUACUCUUCAUUGUAUCAUCAUAUCAAAAGGCAGCGAUUUCAUGGUUUUUGGGCUAUACUGGGAGAAUAAGACUGGAGAACAACUCUGCAACUAUAAAACAUCCGAAGGAGUACACUCUGAUCCUCGCAUCCAGUGCCAUUAUACGCCUGGAAAACUGUCCCUCACCAUCUCCAAUCUAUCUGAAGCUGAUCGGGGACAGUACAGCUGCAAAUUGUUUACAAACUUCAAUCAUACAAAGGCUGACACCACCCUGCAUGUCUCAGACUGUCCUGUGGAACCAGUAGAGUCCUUAAGGACAUCAUUCUCUGUCAGGACGGUGCCCAACCACGCCAGCCCUUUACAUACGAAAUGGACAUUCUUGGUGCUAACAGCGUUCAUACUCACCCUUUAAUACCAGGCAGCUUUCGGACAAUCUGGACUAGAGCAGAUUCCAGUGUGCUACUGAUUUUGAAUAAGAAACCUGAUUGUUGAUGUUUUUUUCCUAGCAUUUGUGCAUUUGUGUUCGUACUCAAUCCUUUACCAACCAAUCAGUGAAACCCACUCUCAAAAACAGAUUCAAGUGGAAGUGGGGAUCAAAUUGUGCAAUUUGUUGAAAUUAGGGCUUAUUGUUCUUUCUUUGGAAUCCAGGAGCACUGUGGGAAUGCAUAACAAACGAAUCUGCCCAAAAUGUGAACUCUGAUUUGUGCCAGAAUUAUCAAAAUGUUUGAUUUUUUUGUAUUUUUCUGCUAUGAUGUAAACAUUUUUUUAUGUAAAUACACCUCAACACACACAUAUACACUUACCACUUUCCAGGACGUUACGUACAGAUUGAGCAUAUAUUUCAAAAAUAUGCACAUAUAUAUCCUAUACAUAUGUUUAACUAUCAUUUAACGGAAACACAUGCCAGAAACACAUACGGUAUGUAACAGUGUAUUGGCCUGCAAACACGUAUGUACAUACAUAUAUGUAAUAAGCAAAUUAAUGAAAAAAAAAUAUUAAAAUGCAUAUAUGUUAAAAUGUAUGAUACAUAACUCCGCUGUCCUUCACUGGAAUGCAUUACUGUUUUUAUUAUGUAUGUUUGUUUGUUUUUUUUACAUUAAUUGUUUUUUUACGUGAUGUAAAAUCUUUUUGCACUAGCUUCCAUUCAAAGUUUUUCAAAAUCUUUUGAUUUCUUAUUUUGAUGUUUUUUUAUAGAUGAGAUGUUAUUAUUAAAUAAAUGUGUCAUUCAUAUAUGUUUUUGUAUAUAC